rnacentral:rRNA from 1 species
AUGGCCCUACGGGACGCAGCAGUAGGGAAUCUUCCACAAUGGACGAAAGUCUGAUGGAGCAACGCCGCGUGAGUGAAGAAGGUCUUCGGAUCGUAAAACCCUGUUGUUAGAGAAGAAAGUGCGUGAGAGUAACUGUUCACGUUUCGACGGUAUCUAACCAGAAAGCCACGGCUAACUACGUGCCAGCAGCCGCGGUAAUACGUAGGUGGCAAGCGUUAUCCGGAUUUAUUGGGCGUAAAGGGAACGCAGUCGGUCUUUUAAGUCUGAU